ACAAACUUGGUCAUUUAGAGGAAGUAAAAGUCGUAACAAGGUCUCCGUUGGUGAACCAGCGGAGGGAUCAUUACCGAGUUUACAACUCCCAAACCCAAUGUGAACGUUACCAAACUGUUGCCUCGGCGGGAUCUCUGCCCCGGGCGCGUCGCAGCCCCGGACCAAGGCGCCCGCCGGAGGACCAACCCCAAAACUCUUGUUGUAUAACCCCCUCGCGGGUUCUUGUAUACUCUGAGCCUUCUCGGGCGCCCCUCGUGGGCGUUUUCGAAAAUGAAUCAAAACUUUCAACAACGGAUCUCUUGGUUCUGGCAUCGAUGAAGAACGCAGC
rnacentral:misc_RNA from 1 species